AAAGCCUGUGCUUUCCCAAUCUCUAACCUUCCCAUGGCAAGUGCUGUGGUUCAAUCAGCAGAACCUCUCUCUCUGUGAGGGAGUGAUUUUUUUUUUUUUAUUAUUAUUUUCUUAAUCAGGAGCUUUGAAUGAAAGCCAGUCAGUGAGAGAGCUCCCCCCUAAGCAUUGGUUCCCUGCUGUCCAGAGUUAAGUGAUGCUAUGAGAAGAAGCUGAGUUAGAUUCAAGUAGGAUCAGUCUUAGAAAAUAACAGCAGAAAACAAACAAAAAAGGAAAGAUAGCAGCAAAUUCUCCAGCGUUGUUUGGGUUGGACACUACCACACUUACUCAGAAGCAGAAUAAAAGGAUUUGGUGGAAUAUGUGUGGAAGGGAGAUGAACUACGGGAAAUCACUUGGCUGCACUGCCAACUAAAAAGACAU